UUGAAUUAUAAAAUUAAAUAAUAAUUUCUUUUUUAAAGAAAUUAUUAUUUAAUUUUAUAUAAUUUAGGAUUAAUUAUUUUAAU
rnacentral:antisense_RNA from 1 species